rnacentral:lncRNA from 1 species
CUGCCUGCAGACGCCAAGAGAGGGCCCAGUGCCGAAAAAGAAAAUGUGAGAAGUGCCGGGAGGCACUGGAUAACCAUCCAGUGCAAAAGGCUCUUCGUAUCCGCUGUGAUUGCGGCAAAGAAUCCCACUAACCCGGGGAGGGAAAAGGAGAGGUGCGGGGAUUGCGUCCGAGAGGGAGUUGGGUCCGCCAAAAAAGCGCAUCUGGUGCCAACGCGUCCCAGUCUCGCCUUUCACCCUGGCGGAGGGGUGCCUGCACUCCAGGUCCCUACCUUGGGGUUAGAAUCUGGCUGCGGAAGGCCUCCAGAUCCCCUCCACUGCUAGUCUGAGACCCCAGCUUCAGCACCAGAGGCUGGACAGCGCCCUGGCCUGAUUGCGCCUGGGUUCCCGCGCACAGCUCCGCUGCCCUAAGUCGCUCGGAUCUCACGCGGAGGCGACCAGGAGCUGGAAAGACUUGGUGCCAAAUGCCGGCAAGGUAUGGAAGAGAAAAGAGGCGCGCCUGUAAGUGGAAGAGAACUGAGAUCUUAUUGGCCAGAAAGGAAGAAGCAUUCUUUCACUGGUUGUGACAAAUGGAAAAGCUGGAUGGAUGGAAACAAUGACCAUCUAAUUUGGUGUAAGAGAAGACCCAUAACUUCCCAGGAAGGCUGUGGCAGCAAGUAGUCCUCUUUAGGGAUGCUGGUAUUGGUCUCCACUUCUCUAAAAGGAAGGGGUAUCACCGUUCCUUUCCUU